GGAGAGGUGACAGAGCGGUUUAAUGUACCGGUCUUGAAAACCGGAGACCACGCAAGUGGUCCGUGAGUUCGAAUCUCACCCUCUCCGCCA
rnacentral:tRNA from 1 species